UACGUAGGGUGCGAGCGUUGUCCGGAAUUAUUGGGCGUAAAGAGCUUGUAGGCGGUUUGUCGCGUCUGCCGUGAAAAUUCGAGGCUCAACCUCGAACUUGCGGUGGGUACGGGCAGACUAGAGUGUGGUAGGGGAGACUGGAAUUCCUGGUGUAGCGGUGAAAUGCGCAGAUAUCAGGAGGAACACCGAUGGCGAAGGCAGGUCUCUGGGCCACUACUGACGCUGAGAGGCGAAAGCAUGGGGAGCGAACAGG
rnacentral:rRNA from 1 species